CCGUAGCCCAAGAGAUCGGGAUAACACCUGGAAACAGAUGCUAAUACCGGAUAACAACAGAUGAUGCCUAUCAACUGUUUAAAAGAUGGUUCUGCUAUCACUCUUGGAUGGACCUGCGGUGCAUUAGCUAGUUGGUAGGGUAACGGCCUACCAAGGCGAUGAUGCAUAGCCGAGUUGAGAGACUGAUCGGCCACAUUGGGACUGANACGCGGCCCAAACUCCUACGGGAGGCAGCAGCA
rnacentral:rRNA from 1 species